GACGAACGCUGGCGGCGUGCUUAACACAUGCAAGUCGAACGGUGAAGCGCCUUCCUUUUUGGUGGGUGUGGAUGAGUGGCGAACGGGUGAGUAACACGUGAGUAACCUGCCCCCUUCUUCUGGAUAACCGCAUGAAAGUGUGGCUAAUACGGGAUAUUCUGGGUCUGUCGCAUGAUGGGUCUGGGAAAGAUAUUGUUUCGGUGGGGGAUGGGCUCGCGGCCUAUCAGCUUGUUGGUGGGGUGAUGGCCUACCAAGGCGGUGACGGGUAGCCGGCCUGAGAGGGUGGACGGUCACACUGGGACUGAGACACGGCCCAGACUCAUACGGGAGGCAGCAGUGGGGAAUAUUGCACAAUGGGCGCAAGCCUGAUGCAGCGACGCCGCGGGAGGGAUGGAGGCCUUCGGGUUGUGAACCUCUUUCGCCAGUGAAGCAGGCCUGCCUCGUUUGUGGGUGGGUUGACGGUAGCUGGAUAAGAAGCGCCGGCUAACUACGUG
rnacentral:rRNA from 1 species